UUUGCCUUCGGCUCAUGUGUACAUGAAUUAAUCCUAGUCAUCCGAUCAGUUUUGAUCCAAAAACCUUCAUCUUUUUCUAUAUACUUCUAAGUAAUAAAAUACCCCUGAUUAUAUGAAUUCAUAUGUUUAAUUAAAUAAUGAAUUCUCUUUGCGAAUUUUUCCAACAUCAAACUUUGACCCCUUUCCCAUUCCUAUCAAUCGUCUCUUUCAUUCUCUGCCAUGGCAGAGCUUUCUCUUGGAAUUUUUCUCUAUUUUUGGUUAAGCCCUGACCUUUACUCUUUCCAUAACAGAGCAUAUUCUACAAUUUGGGUGAAAGGUCUGAAGCAAAUCCCUGAAAGUUUAGGACUUUGACCAACGAAUCUCAUAUUUUCUUUUGAUUUCUACUGAGCUCUUCAAAAAGGUAAUGUUCGGAUUUCAACGUUCAGUUUUUGAACCAUAACCCUGCUCAAUAGUUGUGCGCCUAAACUAACCCUAGAAGAACCCUAGCUUCUAUCAAUAAAUAUCGGUUUUGAAAAUCAUUUUUGGGAGAGAUCGGGGAGCCGCCGCCUAUAUUCCCUUUUGAACAGCUCUGAACCGCCGCUUACCACCCUCACAUCCGCCCCUCCUCUUCCUUAAAAUACUUCUAAUCUCAAACUCUUCAGGAAAAAAAUCAGUUUUUCUUUUAAUCUCUUUUUCGUUUCUGUUCGAUCUUGAGGCAUAAAAAAUAAAACAGAAAUCUUUUGGUAUUUACUUGCCGAAGUUGAAUGUUGACCCGACGCAUAGUAGGUGCACACUGCCUCAGUAACUUUUCUUCUUUGCUUAAUGCAAUUCUAAAGUACAUUAUGUGAAAAUAUUGUUAGCUUUUCUUGGUUUUGCCAAAAAUGGAUACUAGUAUGCUCUUAGUUGUUUCGUGAUGCUGUUUAGUUUCGAGUUGUUUGUCUAUGCGUUUUAGUUUUCUUGCUAGAAAGUGUGUGUUGGGCUUUUACUAAUUUAUAAAAUAAUAUCAUUGAGUUAAAUUGUGUUCUGGUUGUAUAAUUACCUGUAUUAAUCGAUAAAUGUUCGAUAAAAUGCCUACACAAACUACCUUUUGUCAUGACCGUGGUUAUAGAUAAGAAGGGCAACUCGUUUAGUGAGUAGUAAAUAGUAAUCUCACAAUAUUAUUUAGGAUGGAUAUAGUAUUUGCUCACUUAAAUGUCACAUGGAAAAUACUGUAGUUCUCAUCCCAUAAUCUUAGGUGCUGAAUAGUGAAGUUCUUUAUGUAGUUCAAAUUAAAAUACUCUACUCUUUAGUUUGACUCACUGGUUCGGUUAAGUGGAAUCAUGAUUCUAGUUUUCUUUUAUUUAUAGCGACCGUUUUUGUAAAACUCAUUCAAAUAUAGAAAUCAUGCCUAUAGAUUUAAACAACUCAUAUUUAACUUGGAACAACACCCUUCUUUUUAUACACUUAUAUGAAUCAGUAGUUAAGUUGAUCUUAAAACCAAUAGUUAUGACUUUCCCUAUUCUCAUGAACUUUUAUGGAGUUAAGCUUGUCUUCUAUAUGAUAGAAAAAUUCUUAAUCUUUGCUUGUUUCUUCUUAGUAAUUGACUCUGUUUACUUGCCACGGGAUGCUUAGCCAUUUAAGUGCUGCUAGAAAUGAAAUUGAGUUUUUGAGCAUUUCUUAUGCUUUGAUGAAUCACUAAAAAGGGAAUUAUCAUAUUUAGAAACUGGAUUAUAUACGUUGUCAUGUUAAGAAUGUAGUUGAUAAUGUCUAUAGUAGUUGAGUUCAAAAGGGAUAAUUAAGUAGCCCAUUACUGAUGUGUAGAAGCAUGACCUUUAAGAAUUAGUUAGUAUUCUGCCUAGGUUUAGAAGACUAAUUGUUGGUAGCUUAUAGAUUCAUUUCUACCAAAACAUCCUUUCUAUUUUAACUAUUGAUAUGUGAGGAAUGCCGUAAAAGUUUGGACUUUCUUAACAUUUGUGCUCAUUGUUAGGAUAUGUAAAUGCUUAUAUAACUUUCAAUUUGCUGCAACUUUGUCAUUUCUCUUACUGUUAAAGAUAGUAGAAUAUUUUCUAAUUCAUCUAUAUCAUUUUCCUUUGUGUGACAUGUACCAUGGAGUCGCGAAGAGUCUCAUCGCGAGACUCAAUGCCACUGCCACCACGACCACACGGAGUCCAUCAGCAUUGUGUUAUCCCCCAGAUCGCUGCAUAUAAAUUGCAGCCAGAAAUUCAUCUGAACAAUACUAUAUUUCAUUUUGUUAAAUGCUUUGUUCUAUUGUGUAACCUGGGACGUAUUUAAUCGGGAGUCAGCCUUAAAAUUGAAGUAAUUUGGGAUGACGUAGAGUUGGAGGAAUUGCGAUUUAUUUAUAGUAGUAUUUUGGUCAGUCUUUAAAUUUUCUUGAACAAGAUUUCUUUUAAAUUUCAUUCCAAGUUUGAGUUAUGAAUCUGUCGAGCUUUUUUUUUGGAGUGAGUUAAAUCUGAACUUUGGGUCCAAAGUCUCUUAAGACUAACUAAGUAUUUUUAAAAUGCCUGAACAAUUUUAUUUUUAUCAAGUUGAAGAGAAAGUUUAGACACAAGAGUUGUACUACAUUUUAAACUGGAAGUUCCUUUUUAAUUGGUUUCACUAAUAUUGUUAAUGUUUUGCUCAGGUUUUGUUAAAUUUGGUACUUAACAAGAAUUAGUU
rnacentral:lncRNA from 1 species